rnacentral:rRNA from 1 species
AAUGAACGCUGGCGGCAGGCCUAACACAUGCAAGUCGAACGGAGUUAUAUUGUAGCUUGCUAUGGUAUAACUUAGUGGCAGACGGGUGAGUAAUGUAUAGGAAUCUACCUAGUAGUACGGAAUAAUUGUUGGAAACGGCAACUAAUACCGUAUACGCCCUACGGGGGAAAAAUUUAUUGCUAUUAGAUGAGCCUAUAUUAGAUUAGCUAGUUGGUGGAGUAAUAGCCUACCAAGGCAAUGAUCUAUAGCUGAUCUGAGAGGAUGAUCAGCCACACUGGAACUGAGAUACGGUCCAGACUCCUACGGGAGGCAGCAGUGGGGAAUAUUGGACAAUGGUCGAAAGCCUGAUCCAGCCAUGCCGCAUGAGUGAAGAAGGCCUUUGGGUUGUAAAGCUCUUUUAGUGAGGAAGAUAAUGACGGUACUCACAGAAGAAGUCCUGGCUAACUCCGUG